UGAAGACGUAGCUCCCUCAGGGACACAGGCUGGGCCGGUUUGCAAGUAGCCCAUCGAAGAUUAAGGAUUCUGGGCUCGGGUUCCUUGCCGGUGGCGCAAACUGCGGCUGCACAGAAGCUGCCUGCGCUGCUCUGAUCUCUGACUCCGUGGGAUUUGUGGUCAGAGUCUGAACAGAGAGGAAACCUGAGGCUCGCGCUGCUCUGCCUGCCGUGAGUAAUGAAGCUUGGACCCAAGAGUGUCCUGUGUUCCAGCAUCUGGACACCGCAGCAGACUUUUUCUUUGCAAGAUUUCACUGAGUUGCUGAGGCUGCCCUCUAACUUGCAAUCCUCCAGCCUCAGCCUCCAGAGUCUCUGGGAUCACAGGCAGGCGCCACCACAUCCAGUCCUACCUGGCCCCUUGUAAAAAGCUUUCCUGGCUCCUGAGUUUUCUGAAGAUGGAAAUUUUAAGAAAAAAAAAAAAGUUUCUUCUAUCAUCCUUCAAAGCUGACUUUCAUAAAACCCAUUUUCUUGCCCAUUUGACCCUGAGUCUCUGUGGAGCACCACAAGCAGCAGUGUGGCCUCUUGUCCCCAUGCAGUGGUGGCUCCCGUAGCCCCACGAGCACCUCACAUACACAUCGGAGUCUUGCCAUGACCUUGUGAAGGAGAGUGUGCAGCAGAGGCUGGACCUUGUCCAAAGGGUCAGGCCUUGGCCCUCGGCUCCUGGGAGGCCGUGUCCACACCUCGGGAUUCUCCUGCCUGAUUAGAGUGACUUUGUUUGCCCCGGGGCCUGGACCCCCCAACAGUCUGACAGUGUGAUUCACAGUGAGGGCUUUGGGGCCUCAGAUCAGCCAGACUUCUGGAGGGCUGGACACUGAAGGUCAUCCAUGAAGGUGAUCCACCAUGUCUAUGUGUGACCCAGCUAAACUCGGACCCUGGGGCUCAGUCGAGUUCCUGGUCAGCAAUACCCUACACACUGUGACACACGAUUUCCAGGACUUGUGUGCCCAGCGGUGUCAUUACUUGUCCGUGUGACUCCACAUCUGUUGCCACUGCACACCUGUGCAGGUGUCUGGACCUGCCACCAGAGUAUUGCAAAUCUGCUCGUGUGUCCCUGAGACCAGCCUGCUGCGUCCUUCCAAAGUGUGGCACCCAUCUGUGUGACAGCUAAACAUGUUCAUGUCUGUGUGUGA